rnacentral:lncRNA from 10 species
CUUGCAGUUUAAUCUCAGACUGCUGUGCUAGCAAUCAGCGAGACUCCAUGGGCGUAGGACCCUCCCAGCCAGGUGCAGGAUAUAAUCUCGUGGUGCGACAUUGUUUAAGCUGGUCGGAAAAGCGCAGUAUUCGGGUGGGAUUGACCUGAUUUUCCAGGUUCUGGUGGACAAUUUCCAGUCUGGAGUCUGCAUUUGGAGAGAUUCUACAGCACAUGCAUGAAUGAAUGGAGUAUCUGCUGAGGAGACUGGAAUGAGGAAGGAAUUCAUUAAGUCUGAUUGUCUCUGAACAGCAAAGUUCCUGAGAUUCCUGCACUAAGCCCCAGAAGACUGAAACAAACCAAACUGCUAAACGUCACUUCAUCAUGCUAAACGUCACGUAAUCAAAUGGAAAUUUUAAAGAAACAGCCUACUCAAUAUGAAGAUAAUGAGAAUGAAGAUCUUGAUGAAUUAGUCACUUUCACUUAACGAAUAGUAAAUAUAGUUUAUCUUUCUUAUGAUUUUCUUAAUAACAUUUUAUUUUCUCUAGCUUACUUUAUUGUAAGAAUACU